rnacentral:sRNA from 1 species
AGAGUACGGGUGAGUGAAAUUUGUAAGGUUUGGUGUGUUCAUUUGAGUGGGUGCCAGACGUAAUGGGCCCGGGAUUGAAUUAGUUUAGAUCAAAAUUUGAUGUAAUUAUCGCAGAGAAACGCUUUCUUACGAGUGUUUAUCUCGAGCCUGCUGUGUUCAGCAUCUUUCUUGGUGUUUUGGGAGAAGCAGACAGGAGUUAAGUCCAAGUCCCCGCCCUCACAGAGCUCAGGUGGCUUGGGGGAAGGUUGGUGCGCAAACAUUAAAAUUAGAUAUAGACACUAGUGAGUGUCCCCGUCAAGAGGUCUGUGAAAUAAGGUUGAGCCUACGAUGCAGAAGUUAAUCUCCCAGCAAGUUGUCAAAUUCCCUAGUUGAAUUUGCUUUGGACAUCAGUGUGAAGCAGAACUGAUAUGCCACUUGAAUUAAUAAAGGAAGUCAAUGGGGUGCCUGAAGUUCAGCCACUGAGUAAAUUACAUAAAGUAGAUUUCGGAUCCCUACAGCCAGGUUACAAUUAUAGCAAGAAAUAUAUUCAGGGAAAACUUUCACUUAUCUCUUCUUUAACUUAUCGUGGAAAUAAAACAGCUGUUUUGCAGAUUGGACUACAAGGACACCAUUGCAGUGGCUAGAUUUAUUGUUUUUUUAGCUUCUUCAUCUACAAGCAGAGAUGGUAAACCUUGCAUAUUUUUGAAAGCAUUUGAAGACCUCAAAUCAACUGUUUAU